rnacentral:rRNA from 1 species
UACAGAGGUGGCAAGCGUUGUUCGGAAUUAUUGGGCGUAAAGAGCACGUAGGCGGCCUUGCAAGUCAGUUGUGAAAGCCUUCCGCUUAACGGAAGAACGGCAGCUGAUACUACAGGGCUAGAGUACGGGAGGGGAGAGUGGAACUUCUGGUGGAGCGGUGAAAUGCGUAGAUAUCAGAAGGAACGCCUGCGGCGAAAGCGACUCUCUGGCCCGAAACUGACGCUGAGUGUGCGAAAGCUAGGGGAGCAAACGGG